rnacentral:rRNA from 1 species
AGUGAACGCUGGCGGUAGGCCUAACACAUGCAAGUCGAACGGCAGCACAGUAAGAGCUUGCUCUUACGGGUGGCGAGUGGCGGACGGGUGAGGAAUACAUCGGAAUCUACUUUUUCGUGUGGGAUAACGUAGGGAAAGUUACUCUAAGACCGCAUACGACCUACGGGUGAAAGCAGGGGACCUUCGGACCUUGUGCGAUUGGAUGAGCCUCUGUCCGAUUAGCUGGUUGGGGGGGUAAGUGCCCAUCAAGGCGACGAUCGGUAGCUUGUCUGAGAGGAUGGUCAGCCACACUGGAUGUGAGACAGAGUCGCGACACCUGCGGGAGGAAGCAGCGGGGAAUACUAGGCAAUGGGGGAGAGCCUGAUCCAGCGAUACCGCGUGGGGCAAGAAGGCCUUCGGGUUGUAAAGCCCUGUUGUUGGGAAAGAAAUGCAGUUGGUUAAUACGCCGCGGUACUGACGGUACCCAGAGAAGAAGCACCGGCUAACUUCGUG